rnacentral:misc_RNA from 1 species
UUGCCAGGAACCAUCGAGCACAACACGGCUACUAGAAGGCAUAGAUGGCGCGCUGGCGGUGACUGAAAUUGUUGAGGAGAGAGGACCCGAGCGAGUGUGCGGACGAGGCGAGGCACGCAGGCAUUGGCGGUCGUCAGGUUAGUGUCUUGCGUUGGCCGGUGGCGGGCA